rnacentral:rRNA from 1 species
AUUCCAGCUCCAAUAGCGUAUAUUAAAGUUGUUGCGGUUAAAAAGCUCGUAGUUGGAGUUCUGCCAGGUGACGCUCGUCCGCCCUAGUGGUGUGUACAGGGCGUGCAUCUGGCCCUUUCAAGGGGAACGUGUCUGCUCUUUAUUGAGUGGUGCGAGAUCCUUGACUUUUACUUUGAGGAAAUCAGAGUGUUCAAAGCAGGCUUAUGCCGUUGAAUAUAUUAGCAUGGAAUAAUAAGAUAGGACUUUGGUACUAUUUUGUUGGUUUGCGCACCAAAGUAAUGAUUAAUAGAGACAGUUGGGGGUAUUCGUAUUCCGUUGUCAGAGGUGAAAUUCUUGGAUUUACGGAAGACGAACUACUGCGAAAGCAUUUACCAAGGAUGUUUUCAUUA